rnacentral:rRNA from 1 species
GGUUAAGUUAAUAAGGGCGCACGGUGGAUGCCUUGGCACUAGAAGCCGAAGAAGGACGUGACAAACGACGAAAUGCUUUGGGGAGCUGUAAGUAAGCGCUGAUCCAGAGAUGUCCGAAUGGGGGAACCCACUAACUAAUGGUUAGUAUCCAUAACUGUUAAGGUUAUGAGAAGGAAGACGCAGUGAACUGAAACAUCUAAGUAGCUGCAGGAAGAGAAAGCAAACGCGAUUGCCUUAGUAGCGGCGAGCGAAACGGCAGGAGGGCAAACCGAAGUGUUUACACUUCGGGGUUGUAGGACUGCGACGUGGGACUUUAAAAGGAUAGAAGAAUUACCUGGGAAGGUAAGCCAAAGAGAGUAAAAGCCUCGUAUUUAAAAUUCUUUUGAGCCCUAGCAGUAUCCUGAGUACGGCGAGACACGUGAAAUCUCGUUGGAAUCUGGGAGGACCAUCUCCCAACCCUAAAUACUCUCUAGUGACCGAUAGUGAACCAGUACCGUGAGGGAAAGGUGAAAAGCACCCCGGGAGGGGAGUGAAAUAG